ensembl:lncRNA
UCUCCUGUCAAGACUUAGAUCCCCCAAGAAUCAGUUGGAUGCCCUGAUUGCCAGUCUUCACUCCCAGAAAACCCCAUAAAGGUAUCACUAGUUGUUGGUGCCUCACAAAUAGCUUGCACUUCUCUUAUCUUAGUCCAAUCCAUGGUGUCUUCUUCUUCUCCUUCACUCAUUGACACAUUGUCCCCAGAGAAUCCCUCAUACGACUCCUCAUCUGUAGAUGCUGUAACUAUGUCCCGGAUCCACUUUCUCUGCUUUCUCAUUAUCAGAUUCCUGCUCCUGAGUAACCCUUUUCCCCUUCUGGCACCCAUACUGCUGUUUGUAAUGUUACUCACAGGCUCUACUACAACACAUAAACUGAGAGGUUUCUUAUUACAUUCAUGUGACACACAUACACACUAACAUGACACAACAAACAGUUCAAAAGUUCUGCUCUAGAAGAAGCUUGGGAUACCUUUGUGGCAACACUGCUAUUACUAACCUCCAGCAACAUACAAAGCCACCUAGCAUAGUUAGAAUGACUAUUCUCAAUGUUUUAAAACAUUCAUGUACACACAUGAUAGUCUUUACAAUAAAGUAGUAAGAUGGGCUAGUGUUGUUCUCUGGAUAUUCCAAAUGUGGAAUGACCCAAAGAAUAAAUUUAUGGUCAUAAUGAGGUUGUAUACAUUGAUGGGCUCUUGGCUAAUAUAUAUAUUUGCCAUGCAAGAAGUAUUUGUAGUAGUUAAAGUGUUUGAGAGAUGGAUGUAUAGAUCAGAUGUUCUUCAUUUCCAUCUGCGUGUUCUGAGAAAUAUCUAAUCCAAUUCCUGGACAUUCUUUUGCCAUUGGAAAAUACACAUUUUUAUUCUGAAGUGCAAUACAACACUGAGAUGAAAGAGCAACAUCCUGAAGAAUGUCAUUUGCUCUUCAAUUUAGAACUAAGUGAACUCAUUUGUGCUUCAGACUAAUAUGUAGAUUUGAAAUUUAUCCUAUAAAUUCUGCACUUCUAAAAAAUUUGGAAUGUAGCCGUUGUCUGCAGAAAUACAAAUUAGGGAAAGAACUGUACAAAAAUGCAUGUUAAGGAAAUGUUUGGGGGGUUUUUUUGGGGGGGGGGUGAUGUAUUGAUAUAAAAAUUAUUUGUACAUCUUUCCUUUAAAGAAGAGAUUCCAAGCAGAUUGAUCAUGCAUUUACUUUUUGUUCUGUACUGUCAGGACCCAGGCUGCAGAGCACCAAUAACCUUACACAGAGGCCAGAAUCUAUCUAAUAUCUUUAUUAAAGAAAUAUAUAAAAUCAAUAAAAACAAGUGAAGAAUAUAGUUCAGAAGCAGACCUUUCAGAUAAGGUCAAAUAUAGUCCAGAAAUGUAUUGUCCAAUAUAAGAUAUUAGAGUUCAAAGUUUUAAUCCACUUGACCGAAACACACACUUUGCCAAGCAAUAGUGUGGGGAAAUAACAGAGUCUUUAAAGUCCAAUGAAGCUUGACAACAAGGCUGGAAUAAACUUGAUUCUCGACUAGAUCCUUGACUGGAGGCAAGAUGAACAUGAAGCAUGAAACAUAGUCCGUGGUAAAAACGUGAGACAAGGCAAGGCUUGAAACUUGAUCCGGGAAGCAAGGAACUGGGAUUACGAAGUCCACACAUGAUCUCUCUCCUCAAGCUGAUCAAUUGACUCCGCAAAGUAUUCCUCGCGCCAAACACCUAUAUUGGGUCUCGUUUUCCCGCCAACAGAACUCUUUCCCUAGAGAACGAGAAGCGAAACCCAACUCUGUCCAGAUGCAUGACUCCUUAGAAUUUCCCAAGGGAAGCAGACCUAAUCAGCCAUUUGUUUGGCAGCGAUUCUCAGGCUUCUGCGAUUAGCCUCCCUGGCUCCCCUAUCUUUAGAAUAAUUUUCCCUCCUGGAAAACGGGGGGGAGUUCUGUCCAAGUCCUGUUUGGCUGAAUUCUUGUGGGCAAACAUCAACAUCCUGCAGGUGAAGAGGCUCUGGCUCUUGCUGAACCGGCAAAAAUCCCAUGUUUUCCUCUUCAUCUGCCACAAUAGUACUAGGAACAGGACUACAAGGCCCAUGAGUCAUCACAUGUACUAACCUCAACUGAUUUCUCUUAAGGAGAGGAGAAGAGAAUUCAGAUAUGAAUUAAGGGUAUGGAAGACUUAAGUCUUCAUAUUUAGCAAUUACAGAACACAACAAGUCCUUAUGCUGCCAAAAAGAAAAGAAAAAGGAGAGAGUAAUUGAAGCAAUCUAACACAGACAAG